GAAGUGGUCUCUCGGCCACCACAGACCCGGGAAGAUGCUGCCUCUGUUGUGGUGGUGGCUGUGCCUCGGCCUGUGCAGCCUCUUGGUGGGUCAAGCGGAGGCCCCGAGCCCUGUGGAGCCGCCGGAGCGGAGCCGGCCGUACGUGGUGCUGCGCGGGCAGAACUUGGUGUUGAUGGGAACCAUUUUCAGCAUCCUGCUGGUGACCGUCAUCCUUAUGGCAUUUUGUGUCUACAAGCCCAUUCGACGUCGGUGACAGCUGAGCGAGCAAGUUCUUCCACAAGUAUCUGGGAACAGGAUAAGUUGUGUUGCAAACAGGCCAUUGGAGAAGCUGGAUUCAGAACUUUCCUAUUUGGAAGUGACCUUUGGUCUGGACAAUUGGUAAAUGCUAAAUGAUUUAGAAAAAACAUCAACUAGCAAUUAUUUUUUUUCCUAACACUGUAAUGCAAAUAAUUUGCCAUUGAGUCUGCUUAUUAAUGUUUCUUUUUAUAUCUGGCUGUACUUGUUAAAAGUAAGACCUGAAGCUCCAAGGUUCAGUGUAAAGAUGAAGCGCUCAUGAGAAAGAAAACAUGGAAACACUGCUAGUAUUUGUAAAAGAACCACACUGGAAAGGACUACUCAUUAAUGCUUGAAAUAGUAAUAAGAGGAAGACAAUGUGUAGACAUUCCCUACUUAAGAACCAUUUGGUCACAGUGUGUUAACCAUCACAAAUGUUUUUCAUUAUUGAGUUGACAUAGAAUGCUAGAAUGACUUUUGGUUACAAAAGUCAGAUGUGACCGUUGCUUCUUACCUGCAUCUGGCUGUGCACUCAGAUGCCUCCACUGAAGUCAGGGUCACAUCAGUUAGGCCCUUUACCACGUGCACCCUUGGCCUGGAAGGCUCUGGGGUUGGACCGAAAUGUGACUAGUUUGCCCAUCUGAAAAAGAACUCCAUCCUGCACAAAUACAUUGAUCUCCCUUGUACUACACUUAAGCCUUUCCAGCCCAUGGCCUAAAACUUCUGGUAGCUUUUCAGAUUUUGAAUCUGAGAGACUCACUAGGAGCUCCUUUUCAGCCCUGGGUAGGGAGGGCUCAACCAGCAGAAGUGCACGUUCACUGUGUUGGGCUGGUGUGUGUUUACACAAAUUUAAUCUCAACUUUGAAAAUGCUGCUAUUAGUUUGCACUGUUGGUGAACUGGAUUUUUUCCCCCCACUGAAAUGAUACUUUUGUACUUAAAAAGUGGUUGUCAGUAUUUAUUUUAAAGGAGCUAGAUUUUUUUGUUAUUAAAUUAAAAUGCUUAUCUUGUGCUCCAAGCACAGCACUGAUCUUUUUUUUUUUUUUUAAACAACCUGCAUUUAAUGUGAAAUAACUGAUAUGGGAUACUGUAACUGACAUAAGAAUUUUGUUUGUAGCCUUAUAACUUCGAGCCAUUGAAAUGUUCACUGUUCUGUGCUUUUGAGCAAAAUGUUAAUUAAAAUUGAAGUAAAAUCCUA